GGAAAUGACUCGAAAUGCGGUAGGCCGGCUCAAACCGGCGCGAGAGUUCGAAUCUCUCCAUCUCCGCCA
rnacentral:tRNA from 1 species